UGACUCUCGGCAACGGAUAUCUUGGUCCUCGCAUCGAUGAAGAACGUAGCGAAAUGCGAUACUUGGUGUGAAUUGCAGAAUCCCGUGAACCAUCGAGUUUUUGAACGCAAGUUGCGCCCUAAGCUUCCGGGCCGAGGGCAAGUCUGCGUGGGCGUCAAGU
rnacentral:rRNA from 1 species